CUUCAACUACCAGGCGAUAGCUAAUAGCCCAGACUAAACGUUACGGUCCCCUAUUGCAGUAUUCUCCUUUCCCCUUUUUAAUGUCAACCACAACCUAUAAUAUAACUAAACGUCCAAGAGGAAAAUAUACGACCUGACGAGCUCCUAAUAUCCACAGAUGACUCCCCUUAGGGGGCUUUAUACCCCAGACGACAAAGCGACAUAAGAGCAAGCUACACAAGACAUGAAUCCUAGUUUAUAAGUCAUAGCCCACUGUAACACAUUACAAGCGUUAAAGUUACUACAACACACUACUGUCUUUUUCUUCAAAAUAUAAAAUGUGCACUGCUAUGCAUUCCUAACAAAUGUUAUUAGAUGUUGAUUGAUG
rnacentral:lncRNA from 1 species